CCAGCAGGCGUCUGUUAAGAGACAGAAAGGAAAAGGCGGUGUUGGAGCUGGCCAAGGGUUUUAGCAGAGUCCUGCUGGAGCUGUGCAAGAACAAAGGAUGCCUGAAACACCAGGGCUUUAAAGCAAGGCGAAGAUCAUCUCGGGACCUGUCCAGCUCCAUCACUCCCAGGCACCUUCAUCUCUGCCCCCCGGGUUUGCUGCCUGCAGGCAGGAGGAUCCUUGCUCCAUACAGGGCUUGGAGUUGCAGCUUCUCCGAGCCACUUCAGAUGGGAUGAGAGGGAUGCGCUCUCCAGGCUGCCAUGGGAAGUCCUUCAUUCCUGUCGCUGUCAAGCCUCUGAAAUGAUGCAAUCAGCUGGAGAUAACGCUG